GAAGGGCGCGAACGACGCGCGACGGCGAUGGCGACCGGGCACGACAUCUCAUCCGCGGUGAACCAACACACACACGCGCGUACGUCGGCCCGCGAGUUUCGUUUUGCAAACGUUUUCAGUGCUAUUCGAACGACGGCCGUGGAUGCAGGGACGGAGGUGGACUGCAGUCGGCGUUGUUUUGCGAAGUUGACGAACGAAUUCGGAAAAGACGUCAAUUCACUUCGUCAAUUUUCAUAUUAUCUGCACGAACUCACGAACUUUACAUCACGCGUAUUGGAUAUAUUUUCACGAUUCAAGUACAUCACGAAGCGGCGCCAACUUAUCGCAAAGUGUAAUAGCCGCAGUUCAACAGAAAUACACGAUAUAUAUAGGUAUCUGUCUAGUGUCUACAGUGUCUGCUUUCGAUCGAGGCCGAGUACACACACCGUGGAAAACCGGAGGUGAAACGGCGGCCGCCGAUGUCGUAUCUCCGGAGAGCUGUUCGAGCACCGCCGGUCGUGUGUUCCACGAGGAAGUUAUAAGUAAUAAUAAUACGAAUAACAACGAUUAGUAAUGACAUAAUAUUACGAACCGUUAUUAUUAAAUUGUUAUUACCUUCAGUCGUGCGGGCCGUAUAAAAUUUAAGGCGACACAACUGUAUACUAUUAAUUUCUACGCCACACACCAGAACCCGUUACCUACCGCAAACGCAACAGUUAAUAUAGUGAGUAAAAACAAAAAAAAAUUUAAAAAAAAAUUCUAAUAUCGUACCAGCCGAAAAAAUACUUAAUAUAAUCAUCAAUUGUAUUAUAUUGUAUUGAGUGUGUAAAUAUUAUAUUUUUUUUUGUCGUUCUCGUCGGUUGUGACUCGAGCGCGACGACACUGUCGAAAAUAGGCGAAGGUAUACAAAAUGUGUAUAAAUUAUUAAAUAAUUAUUAUUAUUACAUGAUGACGAUAAUAUUGUAUAUACGUGAAAAAAAUUAAACUAUUUCGUUCAACACGUUCUUUUAAAACCAAAAUGUUGUUUUCAUUAUUUUUUUUUUUCGUUUGCUCGCACAGCACAUUACACACAUUAUAAUACGGUGUAAUGAUGUGCUAUAAUUACGAAAAGUAAUAUAAUAUACAUAAUAUUAAGUAUUGUAUUUAUCGGUAAUAAUAACAAAAAUCACAACGAUAAUACGACUACGUAUAUUAAUGUGAUGUUACGAACGUAAUAUAUAUAUGGUCCGGGGUUAAUUUCAGCGGCACGUAAUUAUAAAUUACUAUUUACGACGCAAAUACGUAUUAUUAUAAGUCCAUAUACUGAGCAGCCGUUUACGUAUUACACUAUAUAUAUAUGAUAUACAUGUUAGGAAUAUUUAUAUAUUAUAUCGAAUUCUUCUAAUGGGUUAGUAAUAUUUUUUAACUACUUAUCAAACAACAACAACAACAAAAACAACAAUAACAACAGCAACAACAACGGUUAUAGGGUUAAUAAUGAUAAUAAUAUGUAUAUAUAAUAUCACUCUACUGUCUAAAUAAUAAUAUUAUAUAUGGGCCGAUGUACAACGGACGGCUUCAAUAAUAGAAUAAUAAUUGCAGUAUAUGUAUUUUAAUACACAUACACACUCAAUCGAUGAUGGAAUUAGGAGAGGGAUAGGGGAGGGAAAGAGAUGAUUCUCAUCCCCAAAAUUGAGCGCGGGCGGACCGUACGCGGCGAUAUAUACCUACAUAUCGCACGCGAGGUCAUACGCAUGCAAUAUAUUAUAUUAUUACUAUAAUAAUAUAGAUAUAUUAUAUAAUUUAGUAUUAGUAUUAUAGGUAAAUAGUAUACAUAUAGAUAGAUAUUGGUAUUAUAACAACAUUACGGUAGUGUGGUGUUAGGAUGAGAGUAAGAUUGUUUUUUUUUUCAUAUACGAUUAUUUCCUUUACUCGAAUACAUAGAUGUGUAUAUAUAUAAAUACUAUAUACACACACAUAUAUGUAUAUGAAUUAAAUAAUAAUGAUCUAAAAAAAAAAA